AUCUCCUGACCUCGUGAUCCGCCUGCCUCAGCCUCCCAAAGUGCUGGGAUUAUAGGUGUGAGCCACUGCAUCGGGCCAACAAACUUUUUUUUCAAAGGAAACAUUUUGCCCUGAAUUGCUGGUGAAGUUGUUUUUUGACAGAGCUGUUUUAUUGCUGAAGAUUUCUUAUUGAUGCCAGUCAUAGCAGAUGAAUCAAAAUGCAAAAACAACUUUUUUUACUGCUCAGCAUGCCCCAGGAUCAGAAGAAUCAAGCCUGAAUCUUGAACACAGACCUCAGUCAGAAGCACCAGACACAGAAUCUUCAACCCCUUAUUGGAAACCUGUACUGGGUGUUCUACAGGCACCUCAAGCUCAACAUGUUUAACAUCAAAGCCCUGAGUUUGUUCUGUUUUCCACCAUGGACUGAGUUGCGAUAACAGUGCAAAGGAGCAGAUUUUGGGAGAACAAGCAGGAAUUUAGUUUUGGUAAUGUUAAAUUUGAGAUACCUGUUGGGUAUCUUGUUGUACAAACUGCUUGCUAGCUGACUCUUAUGCAUUCUCCUCUUCAUUCAUGAUAAUAGAACAUCUAGCCAGACACAUGGUUGCCUAUAAUACACCGUAAAUGUGGACAUAUCUCUUAAGUUCUGGCCAGUAGGAUGUGAGAAGAAAUGAUGUAUGCAACUUCCAGAUCAUUUUCUAAAAGGAAUUGGGUGUCACUUGCCCUCUCUUUUGUCCUUUUCUGAUGAAUGUAUGUAUUAAAUAGUUGGAGUAGUAAACUAUGUUGGAAGAUGCUGCGGUUUGAAUGAUGGUGUCCCCUUCAAAAUUCAUGUUGAAACUUAAUCCCCGUUGUGAUGAUAUUAGCAGCUGAUUAAAUCAUGAGGGCACUGCCUCAUGGAUGGAUUAGUACCCUUGUGAAAGGACUGGAGGGAACUAGCUUAGGCCUUCUUUGGCCCUUCCAUCCCUUUAGCCACACGAGGACACAGCAUUCAUCCCCUCCAGAGGAUAUAGCAAUAAGGUCCCACCUUGGAAACAGCAGCUCUCACCAGACACUGAACAUGCUGGGGGUCUUGAUCUUGUACUUCCCAGCCUUUAGAACUGUGAAAAAGUACAUUUCUGUUCUUUACAAAUUUCCCAGUCUCAGGUAUUUUGUUAUAGCAGCAUAAACAGACUAAGACACUGGGAAACAUUCUAGGGAUUGCAGAGCAACAAGGUGGGGCUCUGAGGACUUCACUGAGCAAGUCCUAUGAACCAGGUCAACUCUGAUGUAAGACAACUACCUUCUAUGAUCUACCAUGGUUAUUCUAAAUCCCUUUAACUGCAGCUGAGCUUGUGUCUUAAUAUCCAAGCAAAGAUAUCAGGAGGCAGUUGGAUGUGGAAGUCUAGAGUUAGAGAAGAAUGAAACCAACUCAUCCUACAUUCUUUGACUUGAUUGGUGACUCUGCCAUCUAUGGCGGUCCCCAAUAAUAAUAAUGGUAGUAAUCCUAGAUUUCUUCCUCCCUCACUCUCCUGGCAAUUAAGAGGCAAAGUUGUAUCUCUCCAAAGAAUAGGCCUUAGAAUUAGUGAAGCAAAGUGGCUGAGAGCACAGGCUCCCAACUUGGCAAGUGCAGAGAUUCCAGGCAAGAUUGUAAACCCCUUUCUGAUUUAGUUUCCUCAUCUAUAAAAUGGAGUUAAGCAAGGCAAAGGGAAUAGGGAAUGCUACAGGAGUUCUGUCAUGCCGAGUGGCCAGGGAAGGUCUUACUGAAAAGAAUUCAUUUAAUCAGAGGCUUGACAGAAGUGAGGAAUGAACUGUGGGAAUAUAAA